ensembl:lncRNA
ACCCAGGAGGGGUCUGUGUCAUGUGUUGCUCGUGGCCCCGCCAACCCAGGAAGAGUGGUCUUUAAGAGCGUGUUGGAUUCUGUGGGACUCGGAAGAGGUGCCUGAACUUCCCUGUGCUUUUGAAGUCAAGGGACUCCUCCCAGUGAUUAGGAGCAGUGGAACCGUCCGGAUCCUGCCCUUGGUCCAUGCCUUUGGCCUUUGGUCAUGUAGUGGCGGCCCUUUGGGCUCUGCCAUUUGUGUUUCAGAUCAUCAGUUCUGCUAUGUGAAUGGGCAGGACUCUCCAUCGCCUUGGCAAGACAAGGUGCUCCUCGUCCAGGAAGUGUUAGGAGUCCUAGGAGCCAGCUCCUCCCAUGGGAUGUGGGCUCCCGAUGGAGGACAGAGUCUCUUCAGGGCCCUCCUGGGCUACUGAAAUGGUCCAAGAAAACCCUUCAAGUUGACUUCCCUUCUCUAAUAUUCAAUUUUCUUGUCCAUCCAGUGGAAGAGUUGGAGUUGAUACUUGAUCCAUUUCAGCUCUAACUUACUAAAGUCUGUGAUGGCUCUGGACCUUCAUGUUUCAGGACCAGGCCUGGUCCUUCUCAGCUCUCACACUGAAGCCUCAGAACCAGCCUCACUUGGAGGGUGGUCUUCAGCUCCCAGCCAAAAGCCUCGCUUGAACCUCCUCACACUUCAAAGACAAGGAUGGUACCCGCAUGCCACUCAGCCCUUGGAAGGGAGAAACAGUUUGGCAAAGGCCACAGAAUGGACCUCGUCUCCUUACACCGAGCCCAGGGCUCCAUUCAGCAGCCACCUUUCCACCCCCACCCCCAUCUCCUCCCCUCACCCCGAUAUGCAUCUACAUGGCUGCAAACAAGAGCAGCCAAGUGUAGGACCUCCACCCACUGCCAUCAGCAGACACUCAAGUGGACAGGCUGGACUGGAGAACAAGAACAAGAAAGAGAGUUCAGAAGAAGGUCACCAGAGGCUUGAAGCGGAUUGACCAAACUUGACAGUGGGACAACGACUCAUAAAAGGGUGUUGUGAAGCCAGAUCAACUCAAUGACCCCCAAAGAAACUGCGGACUUCAAGAAACUUGCGUGACUUCAGCUUCAGAAAUACUCUUCCAUGGUGUAGAAAACACACCGCCCCCAAUACCCUGCCCACAGUGGGAUUCCUUAUUCUGUCCUUCUCGUGCCAGAAGAACGACCUCCAGUGCUUCUACCCUUUAAACACUUUUGCCAGAAACCCGAAUUCAUGAAAAGCGUGUUUAUCGCUUCACAGUUUUACGCAUUUUGUUAAAUGUGAAAGUCAGAACAAAGCAUCAAAAUACGUCUAUAGAGCUCCUGUCGUGGCUCAGGGGUUAAUGAAUCCACCUAGGAACCAUGAGGUUGCAGGUUCGAUCCCUGGCCUCGCUCAGUGGGUUAAGGAUCCAGUGUUGCCGUGAACUGUGGUGUAGGUCCCAGAUGUGGCUCGGAUCUGGCGUUGCUGUGGCUCUGAUGUAGACUGGUGGCUACAGCUCCGAUUCAACCCCUAGCCUGGGAACCUCCAUAUGUCACAGGUGCUGCUGCCCUAGAAAGACAAAAAAAAAAAAAAAUGUAUAACAUUAAUGAAUACUUUUGUACUAUUAGCCCUCACCUUGAAACAUCGUUAGAAAUUUUCGUCUUUGUUUUUAACCAGAAAGAAGAGCUGAGAGAUUCUGUUUGGGUUCUGAUUACUGUUCAUCACAAAUGUGAUAAUGAGGAUGACCUCCGUUAAGAUGGGUCUCAUCUGACUGAUGGGUGAGGGAUGUUGAGAGGAGGCUGGACCUGGAGCAGAAGGUGGGGGGUGGGGAGAAGGGCAUGAGAUGCUGCGAGCCAGCCACAUCGCAUGGCUACUCAACCAGCCCCUCUGCCUCCCAACAGCUGGAGUUAAUAUUUAAUGAAGAUUUUUAUAUGAUAACAUGUAAAUUCAGAGUUGCAAAAUUUUCUUUAACCCUGAAUUAGAAUAUGCUACUGGUAUUUCUCAAGACCUGCCAGGAACAGGCAUUCCACCUGUUAAUGUGAAUUACGACCGUCUGAGUUGUCCCUGUGUAUAGGAGAGUGGGGUCUCUAAACAGAGCUGAGAGGGCCUAAGACACAGCCCACGCUGCUAUCCCACUCCACCAAUGCAGCCCUUGCCUCAGCUGCCUCGUUAAAUAUCCUCAAUGGCUUUUGUUUGUUUGUUUGUUUGUUCGUUUUUUGGUUUUUUUGCUUUUUAGGGCUGCACCUGUGGCAUAUGGAGGCUCCCAGGCUAGGGGGUCAAACUGGAACUACAGCUGCAGGCCUACACCACAGCCACAGCAACGCAGGAUCCGAGCUGCAUCUGCGACCUACACCGCAGCUCAUGGCAGCACAAGAUCCUUAACCCACUGAGCAAGGCCAGGGAUCGAACCUGCAAUCUCAUGGUUCCUAGUUGGAUACAUUUCCACUGCACCAUGAUGGGAACUCCUUUAAUGGCAUUUUGAGGGCGUGUUUUUAAAUAUCCUCAAUAAUGGACUAAAGAAUUGGUGGCCCAGCAGUUAAGGGAUCUGUCAUUGUCACUGCUGUGGCUCGGGUUUGAUCCCUGGCCUGGGAACUUCCACUUGCCCACAACGUGGCCAAGAUAAAGGAAGAAAUACUUAUUUUUUAAUGGUGGCCAUGAUGUGGAGAGGCAACCAGCAAGAGUUUUCUUUUUAGGGCUGCACCUGCAGCAUAUGGAAGUUCCCAGGCUAGGGGUCAAAUUGGAGCUAUAGCUGCCAGCCUACACCUCAGCCACAGCAACGCCACAUCCAAGCCAUGUCUUCAACCUACACGACAACUCACAGAAAUGCUGGAUCUUUAACCCACUGACGGGGGCCAGGGAUCGAACCACAUCCUCAUGGAUAUUAGUUGGCUUCGUUACUGCUGAGCCACAGUGGGAACUCACAGCCAGAGCUCUUUCUGAGUGGUGGUCAGCGUCACUGGAAUAAAUCAAAACCUGCACAUGGCA